CACGUAGGGGGCGAGCGUUGUCCGGAUUUAUUGGGCGUAAAGAGCUCGUAGGCGGCUCGGUAAGUCAACUGUGAAAGCUCCGGGCUCAACUCGGAGAGGCCAGUUGAUACUGCCGUGGCUAGAGUCCGGUAGGGGAGCGUGGAAUUCCUGGUGUAGCGGUGAAAUGCGCAGAUAUCAGGAGGAACACCGAUGGCGAAGGCAGCCCCCUGGGAUAACACUGACGCUCAUGCACGAAAGCGUGGGGAGCAAACAGG
rnacentral:rRNA from 1 species